rnacentral:sRNA from 1 species
UAGCCUAGAGUCCUGGGGAGCUUCUGUCCACCUGUCCUGCAGAGGAGUCGUUUCCAGCCCGGCUGCCGCAGGAUGGGUGAGUUCAACGAGAAGAAGACAACAUGUGGCACCGUUUGCCUCAAGUACCUGCUGUUUACCUACAAUUGCUGCUUCUGGCUGGCUGGCCUGGCUGUCAUGGCAGUGGGCAUCUGGACGCUGGCCCUCAAGAGUGACUACAUCAGCCUGCUGGCCUCAGGCACCUACCUGGCCACAGCCUACAUCCUGGUGGUGGCGGGCACUGUCGUCAUGGUGACUGGGGUCUUGGGCUGCUGCGCCACCUUCAAGGAGCGUCGGAACCUGCUGCGCCUGGUCAGGAGGGCGCAGGGCCACGGGGUGGGGGUGGUGCAGAUGGGCCCAAGGAGGUUGUCGCUGCAGGCUUUGAACCUGUGCCUUGCUGUGCUCACCUGGGGGGGGGGGGGUCACGGUCCUUCCACACCUGCCUAGUCCUGUGGGUCCCCACGUUCCCGCUGGACCAGCUGAGGGAAGACACCAGCUCCGCAAGAAAGCUUCAGGGAGGGUGGCCGCCCCUCAGCCCCCACCUGGAGCCUGGGGAGCCGGGGUGGGGACUCUGCUCUGAGGUGCACUAGGUCUAGGCACUAGGCCUCAGAACAAGGGUGCCCUUGUGCUGCCCCCCCCAGUACUUCAUCCUGCUCCUCAUCAUCUUUCUGCUGGAGAUCAUCGCUGGUAUCCUCGCCUACGCCUACUACCAGCAGCUGAACACGGAGCUCAAGGAGAACCUGAAGGACACCAUGACCAAGCGCUACCACCAGCCGGGCCAUGAGGCUGUGACCAGCGCUGUGGACCAGCUGCAGCAGGAGUUCCACUGCUGUGGUAGCAACAACUCACAGGACUGGCGAGACAGUGAGUGGAUCCGCUCACAGGAGGCCGGUGGCCGCGUGGUCCCCGACAGCUGCUGCAAGACGGUGGUGGCUCUUUGUGGGCAGCGGGACCAUGCCUCCAACAUCUACAAGGUGGAGGGCGGCUGCAUCACCAAGUUGGAGACCUUCAUCCAGGAGCACCUGAGGGUCAUUGGGGCUGUGGGGAUCGGCAUUGCCUGUGUGCAGGUCUUUGGCAUGAUCUUCACGUGCUGCCUGUACAGGAGUCUCAAGCUGGAGCACUACUGACCCUGCCUUGGGCCUUGCUGCUGCUGCACCCAACUACUGAGCUGAGACCACUGAGUACCAGGCGCUGGGCUCCCUGAUGACACCCACCCUGUGCCAUCACCAUAACCUCUGGGGACCCCAACCUCAGAGGCAGCUUCAAGUGCCUUUUGCUGCGCACCAACGCCCAGCAGGGGAGGUGAGGGGGGCUGGCGGGGCGAAGUUUGGGGGGUGUUUUGUGGGGCUCCCCGGACAUACUCUCUGCCUGGUGGUCAGAUGCAGGCUGGAAGGGGCCUUGCUGAGUGGCGCAAGGCCGAGUGUUCCCAGCAGGGGGAGAAACCCUUCACACCCCAGGCCCUUCAGGAACUGGGGCUUUGCCUUGCAGCCACAUGGCCCCAUCCCAGUUGGGGAAGCCAGGUGAGCUCUGACCCUUGGGCCUGGGCCUGGGCCUCUGCCCCUCCCCACCCAGCCCUUGUCUCCCUCGACAGCGCCCCUGCUGUCUUCCCCACUGCGGUCACCACCACCCGAAAUGCCACGUGGUCACUGUGCACUGCCCUGUCCAUGUGCCUCUGCGGGGCAGGGGCUUCCUGGUUUUGUUCACUGCUGUACCCAGAUGCCUACAACCAUCCCUGCCACAUACAGGUGCUCAAUAAACACUUGUAGAGCAGAUGGA